rnacentral:rRNA from 1 species
UGGGGAAUAUUGCACAAUGGGCGCAAGCCUGAUGCAGCCAUGCCGCGUGUAUGAAGAAGGCCUUCGGGUUGUAAAGUACUUUCAGCGGGGAGGAAGGCGAUAAGGUUAAUAACCUUGUCGAUUGACGUUACCCGCAGAAGAAGCACCGGCUAACUCCGUGCCAGCAGCCGCGGUAAUACGGAGGGUGCAAGCGUUAAUCGGAAUUACUGGGCGUAAAGCGCACGCAGGCGGUCUGUCAAGUCGGAUGUGAAAUCCCCGGGCUCAACCUGGGAACUGCAUUCGAAACUGGCAGGCUAGAGUCUUGUAGAGGGGGGUAGAAUUCCAGGUGUAGCGGUGAAAUGCGUAGAGAUCUGGAGGAAUACCGGUGGCGAAGGCGGCCCCCUGGACAAAGACUGACGCUCAGGUGCGAAAGCAUGGGGAGCAAACA